rnacentral:tRNA from 1 species
GCCGGGAUGGCGGAACUGGUAGACGCGUUGGACUCAAAAUCCAAUGAGCGCAAGCUCGUGAGAGUUCAAGUCUCUCUCCCGGUACCA